rnacentral:rRNA from 1 species
CCUACGGGAGGCAGCAGUGGGGAAUAUUGGGCAAUGGGCGCAAGCCUGACCCAGCAACGCCGCGUGAAGGAAGAAGGCUUUCGGGUUGUAAACUUCUUUUAAGAGGGAAGAGCAGAAGACGGUACCUCUUGAAUAAGCUAUGGCUAACUACGUGCCAGCAGCCGCGGUAAUACGUAGGUGGCAAGCGUUGUCCGGAGUUACUGGGUGUAAAGGGCGUGUAGUCGGGCUGACAAGUCAGAUGUGAAAGUCCGGGGCUCAACCCCGGACCUGCAUUUGAAACUGGUGGUCUUGAGUAUCGGAGAGGCAGGCGGAAUUCCUGGUGUAGCGGUGAAAUGCGUAGAUAUUAGGAGGAACACCGGUGGCGAAGGCGGCCUGCUGGACGACAACUGACGGUGAGGCGCGAAAGCGUGGGGAGCAAACAGGAUUAGAUACCCUGGUAGUC